AACGAACGCUGGCGGCAUGCCUAACACAUGCAAGUCGAACGAGACCUUCGGGUCUAGUGGCGCACGGGUGCGUAACGCGUGGGAACCUGCCCUUAGGUUCGGAAUAACUCCCCGAAAGGGGUGCUAAUACCGGAUAAUGUCUUCGGACCAAAGAUUUAUCGCCUUUGGGUGGGCCCGCGUUGGAUUAGCUAGUUGGUAGGGUAAAAGCCUACCAAGGCGACGAUCCAUAGCUGGUCUGAGAGGAUGAUCAGCCACACUGGGACUGAGACACGGCCCAGACUCCUACGGGAGGCAGCAGUGGGGAAUAUUGGACAAUGGGCGAAAGCCUGAUCCAGCAAUGCCGCGUGAGUGAUGAAGGCCCUAGGGUUGUAAAGCUCUUUUACCCGGGAUGAUAAUGACAGUACCGGGAGAAUAAGCUCCGGCUAACUCCGUG
rnacentral:rRNA from 1 species